CUGGAAAGUCGUGCCAUAGACGGUGAUAGCCCGGUAUUCUAAGGUAACCGAAGCGUAGUGGUAUCCUGAGUAGCGCGGAGCACGAGGAAUUCUGCGUGAAUCAGCCGGGACCAUCCGGUAAGGCUAAAUACUCCCGAGAGACCGAUAGCGAACCAGUACUGUGAAGGAAAGGUGAAAAGCACUUCGAAUAGAAGAGUGAAAUAGUCCCUGAAACCAUGCGCCUACAAGCGGUCGGAGCAGCUUAAGCUGUGACGGCGUGCCUUUUGCAUAAUGAACCUACGAGUUACUUUUUCCGGCAAGGUUAAGCAUCUUGAGAUGUGGAUCCGAAGCGAAAGCGAGUCUGAACAGGGCGGAUAGUCGGAAGGAGUAGACGCGAAACCAAGUGAUCUACCCUUGGGCAGGUUGAAGGUUAGGUAACACUAACUGGAGGACCGAACCGAUAAGCGUUGAAAAGCUUCCGGAUGACCUGAGGGUGGGGGUGAAAGGCUAAUCAAACUUGGAGAUAGCUCGUACUCCCCGAAAUGCAUUUAGGUGCAGCCUUGAGAGUUACUAAUGUGAGGUAGAGCGACUGAUAAGAUGCGAGGGCUUCACCGCCUAUCAAGUCUUGAUAAACUCCGAAUGCGCAUUAGUUCUAUCUCAGGAGUGAGGGCAUGGGUGCUAAGGUCCAUGUCCUAAAGGAGAAGAAUCCAGACCAUCAGCUAAGGUCCCCAAAUAAACACUAAGUUGAACUAACGAAGUCAGAUUGCUAAGACAGCUAGGAUGUUGGCUUGGAAGCAGCCAUUCAUUUAAAGAGUGCGUAACAGCUCACUAGUCGAGGAGUUUGGCGUGGAUAAUAAUCGGGCAU
rnacentral:rRNA from 1 species